rnacentral:rRNA from 1 species
AUUGAACGCUGGCGGCAGGCCUAACACAUGCAAGUCGAGCGAGCGGCGGACGGGAGAGCAAUGUAUGGGGACUGCCCGAUAGAGGGGGAGAACUACUGGAAACGGUGGCUAAUACCGUAUACUUGCGGAUACCCCAUAUGGGAUUAGCUAGUAGGUGGGGUAAAGGAUCACCUAGGCGACGCCCUCUAGCUGGUCUGAGAGGAUGAUCAGCAACACUGGGACUGGGACACGGCCCAGACUCCUACGGAGGCAGCAGUGGGGAAUAUUGCACAAUGGGCGCAAGCCUGAUGCAGCCAUGCCGCGUGUAUGAAGAAGGCCUUAGGGUUGUAAAGUACUUUCAGCUGGGAGGCGUUACCCGCAGAAGAAGCACCGGCUAACUCCGUGCCAGCAGCCGCGGUAAUAC